AUGCGGCUCUCUGGUCUGUAACUGCACUCUGAGGCUCGAAACGCUGUGGGCUGAACUGAAGGCUUAGAUACCCUGGUAGUCCACGCCGAAACUGAGAAGGCUAAGUGUUGGAGGGUUUCCGCCCUUCAGUGCUGCAGCAAACGCAUUAAGCACUCCGCCUGUGGCGUACAACCGCAAGGUUGAAACUCAAAGGAAUUGACGGGGGCCCGCACAAGCGGUGGAGCAUGUGGUUUAAUUCGAAGCAACGCGAAGAACCUUACCAGGUCUUGACAUCCUUUGACCACUCUAGAGAUAGAGCUUCCCCUUCGGGGGCAAAGUGACAGGUGGUGCAUGGUUGUCGUCAGCUCGUGUCGUGAGAUGUUGGGUUAAGUCCCGCAACGAGCGCAACCCUUAUUGUUAGUUGCCAUCAUUUAGUUGGGCACUCUAGCGAGACUGCCGGUGACAAACCGGAGGAAGGUGGGGAUGACGUCAAAUCAUCAUGCCCCUUAUGACCUGGGCUACACACGUGCUACAAUGGGAAGUACAACGAGUUGCGAAGUCGCGAGGCUAAGCUAAUCUCUUAAAGCUUCUCUCAG
rnacentral:rRNA from 2 species